UACGGAGGAUGCGAGCGUUAUCCGGAUUUAUUGGGUUUAAAGGGUGCGUAGGCGGAUCGUUAAGUCAGUGGUCAAAUUGAGGGGCUCAACCCCUUCCCGCCAUUGAAACUGGCGAUCUUGAGUGGAAGAGAAGUAUGCGGAAUGCGUGGUAUAGCGGUGAAAUGCAUAGAUAUCACGCAGAACCCCGAUUGCGAAGGCAGCAUGCCGGCUUCCGACUGACGCUGAAGCACGAAAGCGUGGGGAUCGAACAGG
rnacentral:rRNA from 1 species